rnacentral:rRNA from 1 species
ACCUGGAUGCUUGCAUCCAGGGGUUGUAGGACUGAUGUUGAGUUACAAAGGUAUAAGAUAGCAGAAACAGUUGGGAAGCUGUUCCAAAGAGGGUGACAGGCCCGUAUGCGAAAUCUUGUACUCUCUAAUCAGGAUCCUGAGUACGGCCCAGCACGUGAAAUUGGGUCGGAAUCUGGGAGGACCAUCUCCCAAGGCUAAAUACUAACUAGUGACCGAUAGCGAACAAGUACCGUGAGGGAAAGGUGAAAAGAACCCCGGAAGGGGAGUGAAAUAGUUCUUGAAACCGUGUGCUUACAAGAAGUUCGAGGCCGUUAAUGGCUGAGAGCGUGCUUUUUGUAGAAUGAACCGGAGAGUUACGAUUGCGUGCAAGGUUAAGGUGCAAAGACUGGAGCCGUAGCGAAAGCGAGUCUUAAUAGGGCGAAUCAGUACGUAGUUGUAGACCCGAAACCGAGUGACCUAUCCAUGGUCAGGUUGAAGGUGGGGUAAUACCUACUGGAGGACCGAACAAGUGGGUGUUAAAAAACCCUUUGAUGAACUGUGGAUAGCGGUGAAA